GGUCGUUUAGCUCAGUUGGUUAGAGCGUCGUAUGUUAUUCUUACCUAUCCACUGUCAGAAAAAAAUAUCUUCUAACCUGCUACAGGUACUAAUACAGCAGAAUCCCACUGUAUUGAGUAAUGCGAAGGUCAUGAGUUCGACCCUCAUACCGACCA